AGGUGGUGCAUGGUGUCGUCAGCUCGUGUCGUGAGAUGUUGGGUUAAGUCCCGCAACGAGCGCAACCCCUAUUGUUAGUUGCCAUCAUUCAGUUGGGCACUCUAGCGAGACUGCCGGUAAUAAACCGGAGGAAGGUGGGGAUGACGUCAAAUCAUCAUGCCCCUUAUGACCUGGGCUACACACGUGCUACAAUGGUUGGUACAACGAGUUGCGAGUCGGUGACGGCGAGCUAAUCUCUUAAAAGCCAAUCUCAGUUCGGAUUGUAGGCUGCAACUCGCCUACAUGAAGUCGGAAUCGCUAGUAAUCGCGGAUCAGCACGCCGCGGUGAAUACGUUCCCGGGCCUU
rnacentral:rRNA from 1 species